CUUGAUAGAGCUUAGUGGUAGAGCACAUUCCUAGCAUGCGUGAGGUCCUAGGUUCAAACCCUCGUAAUAAAA
rnacentral:tRNA from 1 species